rnacentral:rRNA from 1 species
GUCAUAGAUUAAGCCAUGCAAGUGUUAGUUCAGGUAACGAAACUGCGAAUAGCUCAUUAAUACGCUCAGAAUCUAUUUGGCGGCGACCAACAGGUCUUAAAUGGAUAGCAGCAGCAACUCUGGUGCUAAUACAUGCGAUUGUUUCUCCAGAUGUGAAUUAUGGAGGAAAAGUUGACCUCAUCAGAGGCACGCCAUUCGACUGAGUGACCUAUCAGCUUGUACUUAGGGUCUUUACCUAGGUAGGCUAUCACGGGUAACGGGCGGUUACCGUCGGACUGCCGGAGAAGGCGCCUGAGAGAUAGCGACUAUAUCCACGGGUAGCAGCAGGCGCGAAACUUUCCCACUCGAGACUUUCGGAGGAGGUAAUGACCAGUUCCAUUGGUGCCUUUUGGUACUGUGGAUAGGGGUACGGUUUUCCACCGUACCGAAACCUAGCAGAGGGCCAGUCUGGUGCCAGCAGCUGCGGUAAUUCCAGCUCUGCGAGUUUGCUCCCAUAUUGUUGCAGUUAAAACGCCCGUAGUCUGAAUUGGCCAGCAAUGGUCGUACGUAUUUUUACGUUCACUGUGAACAAAUCAGGACGCUUAGAGUAUGGCCACAUGAAUGACUCAGCGCAGUAUGAAGUCUUUGUUUUCUUCCGAAAACAAGCUCAAUGAGAGCCAUCGGGGGUAGAUCUAUCUCAUGACGAGUGGUGGAAUACUUUGACUCAUGAGAGAGAAGCUGAGGCGAAGGCGUCUACCUAGAGGGUUUCUGUCGAUCAAGGGCGAGAGUAGGAGUAUCCAACAGGAUUAGAGACCCUGGUAGUUCCUACCUUAAACGAUGCCGACAGGAGUUUGUCAUUUGUUAAUGGCAGAAUCUUUGGAGAAUCAUAGUUCUUGGGCUCUGGGGGAACUACGACCGCAAGCUGAACUAG